rnacentral:rRNA from 1 species
GACGAACGCUUGCGGCGUGCUUAACACAUGCAAGUCGAACGGAAAGGCCCUGCUUUUGUGGGGUGCUCGAGUGGCGAACGGGUGAGUAGCACGUGAGUAACCUGCCCUUGACUUUGGGAUAACUUCAGGAAACUGGGGCUAAUACCGGAUAGGAGCUCCUGCUGCAUGGUGGGGGUUGGAAAGUUUCGGCGGUUGGGGAUGGACUCGCGGCUUAUCAGCUUGUUGGUGGGGUAGUGGCUUACCAAGGCUUUGACGGGUAGCCGGCCUGAGAGGGUGACCGGCCACAUUGGGACUGAGAUACGGCCCAGACUCCUACGGGAGGCAGCAGUGGGGAAUAUUGCACAAUGGGCGGAAGCCUGAUGCAGCAACGCCGCGUGCGGGAUGACGGCCUUCGGGUUGUAAACCGCUUUCGCCUGUGACGAAGCGUGAGUGACGGUAAUGGGUAAAGAAGCACCGGCUAACUACGUGCCAGCAGCCGCGGUGAUACGUAGGGUGCGAGCGUUGUCCGGAUUUAUUGGGCGUAAAGGGCUCGUAGGUGGUUGAUCGCGUCGGAAGUGUAAUCUUGGGGCUUAACCCUGAGCGUGCUUUCGAUACGGGUUGACUUGAGGAAGGUAGGGGAGAAUGGAAUUCCUGGUGGAGCGGUGGAAUGCGCAGAUAUCAGGAGGAACACCAGUGGCGAAGGCGGUUCUCUGGGCCUUUCCUGACGCUGAGGAGCGAAAGCGUGGGGAGCGAACAGGCUUAGAUACCCUGGUAGUCCACGCUGUAAACGGUGGGUACUAGGUGUGGGGUCCAUUCCACGGGUUCCGUGCCGUAGCUAACGCUUUAAGUACCCCGCCUGGGGAGUACGGCCGCAAGGCUAAAACUCAAAGGAAUUGACGGGGCCCCGCACAAGCGGCGGAGCAUGCGGAUUAAUUCGAUGCAACGCGUAGAACCUUACCUGGGUUUGACAUGGAUCGGGAGCGCUCAGAGAUGGGUGUGCCUCUUUUGGGGUCGGUUCACAGGUGGUGCAUGGCUGUCGUCAGCUCGUGUCGUGAGAUGUUGGGUUAAGUCCCGCAACGAGUGCAACCCUUGUUCACUGUUGCCAGCACGUUAUGGUGGGGACUCAGUGGAGACCGCCGGGGUCAACUCGGAGGAAGGCGGGGAUGACGUCAAGUCAUCAUGCCCCUUAUGUCCAGGGCUUCACGCAUGCUACAAUGGCUGGUACAGAGAGUGGCGAGCCUGUGAGGGUGAGCGAAUCUCGGAAAGCCGGUCUCAGUUCGGAUUGGGGUCUGCAACUCGACCUCAUGAAGUCGGAGUCGCUAGUAAUCGCAGAUCAGCAACGCUGCGGUGAAUACGUUCCCGGG